rnacentral:rRNA from 1 species
AGACGUCUACAUUAGAUACCCGGGUAGUCCCAGCCGUAAACUAUGCGCGUUAGGUGUAUCGGUGACCACGAGUUACCGAGGUGCCGAAGGGAAACCGUGAAACGUGCCGCCUGGGAAGUACGGUCGCAAGGCUGAAACUUAAAGGAAUUGGCGGGGAGCACAACAACGGGUGGAGCCUGCGGUUUAAUUGGACUCAACGCCGGGAAGCUCACCGGAUAAGACAGCGGAAUGAUUGCCGGGCUGAAGACUCUGCAUGACUAGCUG